rnacentral:rRNA from 1 species
GACAGAGGUUGCAAACGUUGUUCGGAAUUACUGGGCAUAAAGCGCACGUAGGCCGUCCGCUAAGUCAGGCGUGAAAUCCCCCGGCUCAACCGGGGAAUUGCGCCUGAUACUGGUGGACUCGAGGUCGGUAGGGGUGAGCGGAACUCCAGGUGGAGCGGUGAAAUGCGUAGAUAUCUGGAGGAACACCGGUGGCGAAAGCGGCUCACUGGACCGAAUCUGACGCUGAGGUGCGAAAGCUAGGGUAGCAAACGGGAUUAGAAACCCCCGUAGUCC